ACAGAGGGUGCAAGCGUUAAUCGGAUUUACUGGGCGUAAAGCGUGUGUAGGUGGCUUCCUAAGUCGGUUGUGAAAUCCCUGGGCUUAACCUGGGAAUUGCAUUCGAUACUGUCUGACUCGAGUCUGGGAGAGGGAAGCGGAAUUCCGGGUGUAGCGGUGAAAUGCGUAGAUAUCCGGAGGAACAUCAGUGGCGAAGGCGGCUUCCUGGCCUAAGACUGACGCUGAGGUACGAAAGCGUGGGGAGCAAACAGGA
rnacentral:rRNA from 1 species